rnacentral:rRNA from 1 species
CCUACGGGACGCACCAGUGGGGAAUUUUCCGCAAUGGGCGAAAGCCUGACGGAGCAAUGCCGCGUGGAGGUAGAAGGCCCACGGGUCGUGAACUUCUUUUCCCGGAGAAGAAGCAAUGACGGUACCCGUAGAAGAAGCCCCGGCUAACUUCGUGCCAGCAGCCGCGGUAAUACGAAGGGGGCUAACGUUGCUCGGAAUGACUGGGCGUAAAGGGCGCGUAGGCGGUUUAUGCAGUCAGAUGUGAAAUCCCCGGGCUUAACCUGGGAACUGCAUUUGAGACGCAUAGACUAGAGGUCGAGAGAGGGUUGUGGAAUUCCCAGUGUAGAGGUGAAAUUCGUAGAUAUUGGGAAGAACACCGGUGGCGAAGGCGGCAACCUGGCUCGAUACUGACGCUGAGGCGCGAAAGCGUGGGGAGCAAACAGGAUUAGAUACCCGAGUAGUC